AAGGGAGGCUUUUACUUGCACCUAGGAGAUUUCUUCUGUGUUACAUGUUCAGGUAAUAUAGUCAAAAUGUGUGAAAUUAUUCUUCAUAUUUGGUAAGAUAUGGAUUAUCUGUGACCUCUUGCUUUUAGUACUGACGGUACAUUAUUGCAGCGGUCCACGUCCAAAAUCUCCUUUUACUCUGGAAGCUCCAAGAAUGAGAGAUGGCAAGCCGGAUGCAUCUGAUGGAUUAUUUUAUGCCACAGUUUCUCAGACCAUAAUGUAACUAUACCAUACAGCACUGUAGUUCCAGUCUAUGUCAAGGCAGAUUUGUGUGUGUGUUGUACAGAUGAUGGCAAAGUUAAAACAGGUGAACUGGUGCGAGAGAGAGAGAGAGAGUGUGUGUAUAUAUAUAUGUCUCUUGAUUAAGUUUAUUACGAACCUUCUUGUCU